GAUGAACGCUGGCGGCAUGCUUAACACAUGCGAGUCGGACGGGAAGUGGUGUUUCCCGUGGCGGACGGGUGAGUAACGCGUAAGAACCUGCCCUUGGGAGGGGAACAACAACUGGAAACGGUUGCUAAUACCCCGUAGGCUGAGGAGCAAAAGGAGGAAUCCGCCCGAGGAGGGGCUGGCGUCUGAUUAGCUAGUUGGUGAGGUAAUAGCUUACCAAGGCGAUGAUCAGUAGCUGGUCCGAGAGGAUGAUCAGCCACACUGGGACUGAGACACGGACCAGACUCCUACGGGAGGCAGCAGUGAGGAAUUUUCCGCAAUGGGCGAAAGCCUGACGGAGCAAUGCCGCGGGGAGGUAGAAGGCCCACGGGUCGUGAACUUCUUUUCUCGGAGAAGAAACAAUGACGGUAUCUGAGGAAUAAGCAUCGGCUAACUCUGUG
rnacentral:rRNA from 1 species